CACUUUCGGUUGCAGCCUUGAACGUCAUGGCUCUACGUGGCCUGGCCUGAGCCGUCCAUGGCUUACAGAGUGGGAUGCUCCUGAUUGCAAGCAGAAACCUGGGACACAAAUUAAAGACCUGAUGGAGAUGCCGGGGGUGGACAGCCUGCGGAGGCUGAGCUCACAGUGACACAAGCUUUUCCUGUCUCAAAAGAUGGAGAGAAGACAGACCAUAGCAUGCCUGACUUAGAUUGGUACAAGCUGGCUCUGCGCUGCAACGUCAUCUCUCGGACAGGUGUUUGAAGACGAAUACCCGAAGCCCUGCAAGUCAGACGAAAACACAGGCACCAGCAGUG